UGGGGAAUAUUGGGCAAUGGGGGAAACCCUGACCCAGCAACGCCGCGUGAAGGACGAAGGCCUUCGGGUUGUAAACUUCUUUGACCGGGGACGAACACGAUGACGGUACCCGGGGAACAAGCCACGGCUAACUACGUGCCAGCAGCCGCGGUAAUACGUAGGUGGCGAGCGUUGUCCGGAAUUACUGGGUGUAAAGGGCGUGUAGGCGGGUCUGCAAGUCGGAUGUGAAAUUCCCGGGCUCAACCCGGGCGCUGCAACCGAAACUGUGGAUCUUGAGUACCGGAGAGGAAAGUGGAAUUCCCAGUGUAGCGGUAAAAUGCGUAGAGAUUGGGAGGAACACCAGUGGCGAAGGCGACUUUCUGGACGGUAACUGACGCUGAGGCGCGAAAGCGUGGGGAGCAAACAGG
rnacentral:rRNA from 1 species